UUUCCAUUUGGUCUACUCUUUUUUUUUUUUUCUUUCCUUAGAAUUCACUUCUGAAGAUUUAAUAGGAACUGCUAGAACUCUAUAUCUCAUUAGUCUGCAAAAAUAUUCUAUUUCAGUACAAUGGCAAUUUUUAAAAGCACCCGCAAUGAACGAUGAGAACACUAAGUUGAGCCUUGUAACAAGCAUUUAGCUCGUGACCGUAUUGCUGUGCUCAUGUGACUGGAUGGAACAUCAAACUUCUGGAAGUCAGGAAAUACCAGAAAAAAAAGAAAAAAACCAAAACCCUUUUCAUGUUAUAAUUCCAUCUUUAUCCACAAGAUCCCAAUUUUAUCUGGGACCCCAGCCAACACUGUAGGCAUGUGUCUGACCAUAUAAAAUGUUGACCCAGACACUAGCUUGCUGAGAUAGCUUCCUGGCAUGACCUUGGAUCUUGCAGCUAUAGACUUGCCUGACUCUCACUACUGUGGUUGUGCACCUCUAACCCAGCUCCUUUGUUCACAUGUCAACCAGUUGGUCAUCUCCAUCCUUGCUGCUUCUUUCAGUUCUCUGCUGAGAUUACCUAACUCCCUAACAAGGCACAGUAAUGAUCACCUCUUCCAUUCCUGUUUAAUUUUCUGACUUUUUUUUUUUGUGUGUGUUAUCUAGCUAGUAGAGGAAUCUGAUGAAGGCAAGGAUGGUGCAAGCUGUAAAGGAAACAUCAGACUCUUGAUGUCUAAAGUACUUCAUUAGCAUUAACUGGUGGAUAAAGAAGAGGAUGCAUUAUUAAAUGUUGUUGGAUACGUGGAGACUGCAGCAUGCACAGAAAAUGUCAACAAUUUCCCAAGAUUUGGGGAAGUGGAAGAGAAGAAUGUUUGAUGUGAAAUGUUUAUGACCUGUUGUUUUUUUCAGCACAUUGAGCCUUUGCAACAUUUGCUUUUGCUCAGAGUACAGGUCCCAGAUGAAAGCUGCACUUUUUCAGUUUCCUUUCUGUUUUAGAGCCCAGUUCUUGGUUUACUGCUGUGCUUGUCAGGUUGAAGUACAGCUCUAUAUAGUUUAAACUGAGAAAGUUAACGGAUCCAAGUGAAAAAUCUGUUUACCUUGGAGUUUUUUAAAUGUCACCCAGUCAUUUCCAUCACUUGUGGCUUUCAAAGUUAUUAUUUUGAAUAGUAAUAGCACUGUGGCAUAUAAGUAUUCAGCUUUAUAACAGAGCCUCAUUAUCUUAAAUUCUCACAACACUGUCAUCCAUCAGCUCUGGGAAAUAAGAAAUGUGAAUGUAAAAAUAAAAUAAGAAUGUUACAUUUUUA